AUAGUGGUAGUUAAAUUAUAACACUGGAUUUGCAUUUUAGAGUUGGGCUUCUUGGCCCUCAUUAUA
rnacentral:tRNA from 1 species